rnacentral:lncRNA from 1 species
AUAGAAACCACUCCCUGGGGCUUGGCAAAGCAGGAGCCCUCCGUGGCAGGGCUUCGGUGUCGGGGCUCCGAGGCUCCGGCCUGACUUCUCCACGGGGUCCACAGGAGCGUCUCCGGAUGCCAGGACCUGAAAUGGGCCGACCAGGAUGAGGAAACCACAGGCAGAGGCCGGGGAAGCAGCGCGGCAUCCCAUCCUCAGGCCUGCCCGGACGGUGUUCGGAAUCAUCUCCCCUGCCCCACAAACAUGAAAGAAAAGACAAGAGAAGCACCCCAGAAGAGGAGGGGAGAAGUGCCCCAGAAAAAAUCAUCCAGUCUCUGAAGCUUUGCCCAGGUGGGCACAGGCCAGCCAGCCUCUCCUCUGGUUGCCCAGCUGGCUGCAGGCUGUCAUUUAACCUUCCGCCCAGCAUGCUUUUGAGUGUGCAGAAGUGCUGCAUGCCCUCUUCUUUGAAAACCUGUUGAGCAAAUGCCUCCGCAUUUUAUGCACCUUCAACCUCCACAGCCAAAGGCCCCCAAGACCAAACAUGCUGUGCACACACAGCAGCUCUUUGUGUCCCACUCCUGGCCGAUCUCCUGCAUCAUCUCGUUGAGCUUCAUUGAACCCCGCAGUCUGCAUGCUCUGUGGAACUCAGGGUCUUCAUUUUGCAUGAAACUCAGGGUCUUCAUUUUCCGUGGAACUCAAAGUCUUCUUGCUCUGUGGAACUUGGAGUCU